rnacentral:lncRNA from 1 species
CUUGUGUUCAUAACUGUGGAAACAGUUUUUUGUCAUUCCCUCAAUGGUAUCAGGCACACUAUGGUUAGGACAAUUUCUCAAGAGUGUGACAUACUCAGGUAUAUUUGUGUGUGAUUUUUAGACUAAGUUCUGUUGCAAGUACUCUACAGACAGAACAAGUCACCAGUAGAUGACGCAUUUCUGACCACAGCAACCUGAAGAGGAAAGGGGUGUUGUUCCUCCAAAUUCAGGUGUGCAGGAGAAUCACCAGGAAACUUGCUGAAAGUUCAGACUCCUUAGCUCAACACGGAGAUGUGUCUGUGAGUUGAAAGCGGAACCCACGGAUGGGCCUUUUAACGAGUGAAAUUCAGAUGCACCUAAAUAAUCUUAGCUCAUACUCUGAGUCAACAAAGGACAGCAUUUCUGAGCUCCUACCAUUAACCAAGAGGAUGCAAGAGCGGAGAGAAACCAUCAGCUUCUCCCUCCCCUCCCUGGAGCUUCCGAGGGGAAUGGCCCAAAUCCGAGUGCACGGGAGCAGCCUUCUGCAGAAAGCCCCCCAGAUCGUGAGCAGCUGGUGUGGGGGGAAGGAGGGGUCUAUGGAGGCAGCAGUCGUGAGAACCCCAGUGGGUGAAUACGGAGCGGGGAAGCUGAGCCGAGCAGAGAGAGAAUGGAAAGAAAGGAGCCGGGAGCUGUAUGCACCGUCCAGGAGGGAAUUUGUACACCACAUAAAGGGGGCAAAUAUUUCGAACAGAAAAGUGAAGCGCAGUACUGGAGCUGAGGACUCACUGAACAAGAUUUGGAUUUUAGAAAACUCUGUGGGCAACAGUAGGAAAG